AGAGUUUGAUCCUGGCUCAGGACGAACGCUGGCGGCGUGCCUAAUACAUGCAAGUCGAGCGAGUCUGCCUUGAAGAUCGGAGUGCUUGCACUCUGUGAAACAAGAUACAGGCUAGCGGCGGACGGGUGAGUAACACGUGGGUAACCUGCCCAAGAGAUCGGGAUAACACCUGGAAACAGAUGCUAAUACCGGAUAACAACAGAUGAUGCCUAUCAACUGUUUAAAAGAUGGUUCUGCUAUCACUCUUGGAUGGACCUGCGGUGCAUUAGCUAGUUGGUAGGGUAACGGCCUACCAAGGCGAUGAUGCAUAGCCGAGUUGAGAGACUGAUCGGCCACAUUGGGACUGAGACACGGCCCAAACUCCUACGGGAGGCAGCAGUAGGGAAUCUUCCACAAUGGACGCAAGUCUGAUGGAGCAACGCCGCGUGAGUGAAGAAGGGUUUCGGCUCGUAAAGCUCUGUUGUUGGUGAAGAAGGACAGGGGUAGUAACUGACCUUUGUUUGACGGUAAUCAAUUAGAAAGUCACGGCUAACUACGUGCCAGCAGCCGCGGUAAUACGUAGGUGGCAAGCGUUGUCCGGAUUUAUUGGGCGUAAAGCGAGUGCAGGCGGCUCGAUAAGUCUGAUGUGAAAGCCUUCGGCUCAACCGGAGAAUUGCAUCAGAAACUGUCGAGCUUGAGUACAGAAGAGGAGAGUGGAACUCCAUGUGUAGCGGUGAAAUGCGUAGAUAUAUGGAAGAACACCGGUGGCGAAGGCGGCUCUCUGGUCUGUUACUGACGCUGAGGCUCGAAAGCAUGGGUAGCGAACAGGAUUAGAUACCCUGGUAGUCCAUGCCGUAAACGAUGAGUGCUAAGUGUUGGGAGGUUUCCGCCUCUCAGUGCUGCAGCUAACGCAUUAAGCACUCCGCCUGGGGAGUACGACCGCAAGGUUGAAACUCAAAGGAAUUGACGGGGGCCCGCACAAGCGGUGGAGCAUGU
rnacentral:rRNA from 1 species